rnacentral:rRNA from 1 species
UGCACCCUACGGGGCGCAGCAGUGAGGAAUAUUGGUCAAUGGGCGCAAGCCUGAACCGGCCAAGUCGCGUGAGGGAAGACGGCCCUACGGGUUGUAAACCUCUUUUGCCGGGGAGCAAGCCUGAGCACGUGUGCCCAGGCGGAGAGUACCCGGAGAAAAAGCAUCGGCUAACUCCGUGCCAGCAGCCGCGGUAAUACGGAGGAUGCGAGCGUUAUCCGGAUUUAUUGGGUUUAAAGGGUGCGCAGGCGGAAUGUCAAGUCAGCGGUAAAAUUUCGGGGCUCAACCCCGUCGUGCCGUUGAAACUG